rnacentral:rRNA from 1 species
GUCGAGGAUCAUUCGCAAUGCGCGAAAGCGUGACGAUGCGACGCUGCGUGGAGGAUGAAGGCCUUCGGGUUGUAAACUCCUGUCAUUCGGGAACAGUGCCGCAGGUGCUAAUACCAUCUGUGGAGAGAUAGUACCGAAGGAGGAAGCCACGGCUAACUCUGUGCCAGCAGCCGCGGUAAUUCAGAGGUGGCGAGCGUUGUUCGGAUUUACUGGGCGUAAAGGGUGCGUAGGUGGUUCCGCGUGUCGAACGUGAAAUCCUGCUGCCUAACGGCAGAACUGCGUCCGAAACUGUGGAGCUAGAGUACAGGAGGGGAAAGCGGAAUUCUCGGUGUAGCGGUGGAAUGCGUUGAUAUCGAGAGGAACGCCAGUGGCGAAGGCGGCUUUCUGGAAUGUAACUGACACUGAGGCACGAAAGUUGGGGGAGCAAACAGGAUUAGAAACCCGUGUAGUCC